GGGGAUUUAGCUCAGCGGUAGAGCGCUUGCCUAGCAAGCGCAAGGCCCUGAGUUCAGUUCCCA
rnacentral:tRNA from 1 species